CAUAAAAGAGGCCAUAAGGGAUGAUGGUCGGGGAAAUUUCGACUGCCACUGGAAAAUGAGAUAAUAUUGGAUAGGGACAGAAAUUUUGCCUUACAACAGGCCACCUACGGGCCCUCAAAGAGUUGUUGUAAGGGUUCUUAACGUGCAAAGAGCGUGGCACUCUCUUAACACGAGACAUCGGAUUUAACGUCCCCAUUCUGACUGGACGU
rnacentral:lncRNA from 1 species